UGCCUAAAAUAGCUUGGUAUGUCGGCUUAGAAGAGAGGGUGGAAUGGUCUUCUGGAAUUGUAUUUUAAAAUUGAAGUCUAAAUUCCUUGUUCUACGCUAUGACAUUGUGAAGGCACAGAGCCUUGGUGUCUUUCAUAGAGUAAGGGCAGAUUCUGCCUUUCAACAGACCCAAGAACAUUGCAGGGCAAAUUUAAGUCAGAAAAUCUUGCCAGAAAAUAGUACCGUAGAGAUGAGGCAGCUGUUAAAAACUGUGGGUCUUGUUCAUAAGGACUAAAGAACUGCCAAUAUCAAUGCCACCUUUUCUUGUUUUUCUUCAUGAAUAUUUCUGUAAUUAAAUGAAAGUAGAAGAUGGAUUAACAUCAAUCACAACUUGUAUUUCCAGAAGAGACAUACCUACAAAGUCUAAACUGUAGACUCUGUAGCAUUUAAAUUAGAUUUUAAUAUAAUCCUCUUUAAAAAAUAUAUUAUACAUAGGUACAUAUAUAUGUGUUCCUAUAUAUGUAUAUAUUUAGGCAAACACCCCAACAAAAAUGCAAAUUCUAUUGGGCCACAUAUUUUAGGAAGGUAUACUGUUGAUUGGAAAAAAAAGAUGACUCCAAAAUAGCUUGUUUCAUGAGACCCUGCUUCUGUAAAAUGACAACUAAAUAUAAAUGUCUAUUUUAUCUGUGUCUGUCUAUCUAUCUAUCAUUUAUCUAUAUAUCUGGAAGAGAUAACAUCAAAAUGUUAGCAGUGUCCUGGGAGGGGAGCAGAUUUCAUACAGCUUUUCAUUCUCAGUUAAACAAUGAACAUGUGUUAUUUCCAGUAUGUUUUUCAAACUAUUUAAAAAGAACCAUUCAGAAGCAUGUUGGCCACUUAGAGACUUAUAAAUAGCCAUUUCCCACUAGGAAAGUAAGGAGGAAGGAGAAUGCUAAACAUUCUACCAAACCCCAUUAUGCAGCACAUCUCUGGAAGAAAAGCAUCCAUGCAGAUGUCCUUCGUAAGCAAGCCUGAGAAGAAAUACAUCAGUUCACUGGGGACCUCUAACAAGCUAUUCACUAACAAGGAAUUCAAUUUGGGUAGCCUGACGGAUGUUUUUCCCAUGACCAUGGAAUUGAAUGUGGGUUUCAGCCUAGCGUCGUCACGUGGGAAUGUGUCCUCACCAAUAUAAUGAGAAUAAGGUGCAUCUAUUCACAGGCUAUGUGAGGAUGAAAUGAAGUACCAUGAGUGAGAUGCCCAGUCCAGUACCUGGUGCCUAAUGAAUAGGAGUGUUCUGUGGCCAGGCCCAGAUGAAGUCCCUCUCCCAUCCCCUGUGGAGUAGCAAGGAAGAAACAUUAACCCCGAAUCCCCUCUCCCUUGAACGUAGUGCAGGAAGGUGGUGAAACUCUCCCUCCACUAGCUUGAAAUUCUCAAGUGUGACUGGUGAGCCUAGAGUUUCUGUUAGGAUCCCAAAGACCGUAAAUAAGAAAAAGAAGAAUCCUUUAAAAAAAACUAACUUACUCUUAUCCACGAAGGUCAAGAGCUAGAAAGCUGAAUUUAUUCUGUUCACAGGGAGGAAAUUAAAAUUUGAUAACACAGUCCCGAGAUGAGCAUGAAAAAUGAUAAUGCAAAUCCACUGAGGAGAAAGUAAUUGUCUUAGAAUGAAGAAAUUCUACAUAAUAAUAAUAGCUAGGCUUGGAGAAGGUGACUUAACCAAAUUCACGGAAGUAGGAAGUGGCGAUUCUGGGAUUUGAGGUGAGUUGGAUUCCAUCAGCUUCUUUUUCUUAUUACUGCUAUAAAAUCCUCAGAUCUGAAAUAAAUGUUAGAGGCCAUGUCAUCUAUUUCUUCAUCUUUAAGUUGGUAUAAAUAAUAGCAGAUCAAGGAAUUGUGUUGCAGUUUGUAAACUCAGCCAUUAACAUAUAAUUAAGGUCACCAGAUUUAGGAACUAAAGACACAGGAUGCCCCAAAGAUUUGAAUUUUAGAUAAUAAAUAUUUUGAAGUCUUUGCGUAAUCGAUACACUUAUACUAAAAAUGUAUUUGUUGCUUUUUUGAAAUUUAAAUUUAAUGAAGUGUCCUGUAUUUUGUCUGGUAACCCUAAAUAUGAUGUCAAUCUAGCAUUCUACAUAUGAUCGAACCACAAGAAAAGAUUUUCUUGGACUGCUGAAAGGUAUAAUUCAAGGUAAAGGUAUGACAUUUUAUAGUUUUUCAACCAUAAAGCACCUGUGAAGCACUUUACACUUGACUAAUAACUUCCUUUGAUUCCAGUCCUCCCAAACUGACAAAGAAAUUAUGCUCCUUGCUCAAUGUCAGAUAGCAGUAAGUUUAAAAAUCUGACAUUUAAAUUUGGGUGAUCUAAUGUGGCUGCUACUAUUGCUAAUAAUGGUAAGUGCAACUAUAAUUUAUUAAGUGCUUGCAAUAUUGUCUGUCAGGCAUUGUGGUUGUACUUUAUACAUCAUGUCUCCCUUUAUGAGAAGAUAAACUUCCACACAGAAAAGGUUCUCACUGAAGGCUGCUCUGUGUCUUCCAGAGUACUCCAGAGUGAUGAGUAGUAACUCAAUUGAAUGGUAGCACUUCUGUGUAAUCUAAUACAAAACUUGGCAAAUUCUUGGGAAGUUACUUCCAGAACCAUUGUCUAUUCAUAUUUACAUGUGUCUCUUCUCAGGCUUUGGGACCCUUAGGGACAGGGAACGUGUCUUGGCCUCCACCGUAUCAUCCUUUAUUGAGCCUGGUGCCAGUACUUUGCAAAGAGAAGGAAUUUAAAAAAAAAAAAAUGUUUGUUAAAUGAGUGAAAAAAAUGAAUAAGCAUGAGUCUAGAAAAUAUCAAUUUAGGAUUCUGGAAGAGAUGAAAAGACGUCUCUUUUAUCAGCAAAUUAUUUAAAAGUAUCAUUGAGAGAUUUUUAAGGGAAGAAAUAGAUUAAUCAGCAAGUAAUGUUAAUUUAUAGUACAAGCCUUGCUUCUAUAAACUUCAAAAAGUAUGGUGAGAGAAGAGGAAAAAUGGAGGCUUUUGUUUAGUUGCAGAAUUCUGAUUCUUCAAUAGACAACUCCUUCAUUGUGCAGCCUACAAAAUGCAUUGAGAGGGAUUCUAGUAAGAGCCCAUCUGCUGUUACGGCCAUGGAAAGUUCCAUUGCUAAGAGUCUUCAAAUGUUCGAUUAGUACAAAGCACUAGGAGAGGGGCAGACUGAGGGAGACUAUUAGCCACAGGUACCAAUAACCUAGCGACAAGACAGUUAACAGCCACGUCACUUCCCUGAUUUGGAGAAGGAUAACAGGGAGGAGGGAGAGGGGAGGGAGAAGGAGGGAAUAGAGGAAUGGAAAAGGAAGCAACAAGGGGGCAGGGGGUGAAUUUGGUAAGGGUCAAAAAUGGCAGUUUCUGUCCCAAUUCUGCAUCCUGCCAGGGGCAGUACUCAGCAAGGUCACUUCCUCCCCGGGGCUCAGUUUCUUCAUCUGUAAAAUGAAGGUGUCAGACUAGAACAACAUUUCCCAGGAGAAUGUACUCCUGGGAUCUGCAGUAUAUUGCAAGGUGGUAUGCAGAAGAAAAAAACAUGCAUCUCUAUAGUUAAUUAAAUUUGGGAAAAGCUGGAUAAAGCAAAACAAAAUGGGUUUAUUUGAGGAUUUCUACUGUCUUUGAAGUUCAAAUGUAAUUUCUUUUCUCAUCUUUAAAAGGCGUUAAUAGUGCCUACACCAUAAAGUUCUUGUGAGGGUUAGUGGGUCAAUUCUAAGGCUCAAUAGAUGUUAGCCUCCAUUAUUACGGCUGCCAUCACCUUAUCAUUAUUAACCUGGAAAGUGGACCUCCAAACUUAGGAGACUCUAGACAGGACUGAGUGGUUGAUUGAUGGAGUAUCUCAUUGAGAGCUAAAUUCUUCAUUAUACCAUCUGAGAAAUCCUGGUCUAGAAUGACCCAGAGCCCUUUCCAUCUCUGAUAUUCCAUGCCUCCAUGAUGAGUUAAGCUCCUAAACACAGCCUAUUCCACCAUUAGCAAAAGCAUUAAAACCCAUAAUAAGUAAAUGAAAUUUAUCGAAUGAACAAACAAAUAAAUUUUUUAAGUUGAGAGCCCACACGCUCUAUCCACUCAGUGUCAAGGCUCAGACUGCAGCCCUACUUCCCAACUGGAAGAGUUUUUCAGAGCCUGUGCUAUUCAUAUUCCAAAAGGAACAUAUGAACUUCAGUAUAUCUGCAAAUGCUCAGUACCAUCCCCUCCCAGGCUAAUUUGCCCAUAAUCAUCCAAGCCAUUAGCUGUUUCAUUCAUUCACUCAUGUAUACUUUCACUCAGUAAAUGUCUAUAAAAGUUCCCCUAUGUUCCAUGCAUUGUUCCAGCAAUGAAGAGAUUAUAAGGGUGAAUCAUUCAUAGAGCAGACCUUCACAGUAAUUAGAGUCUCCUUGAGGAGAAAAAAAUAUGUACAAUAAUGGUCAUUUAAGGUGAGUCAUGCUGAGAGUGGCAGUAGUUUAAUUCAAUAACAGAUUAUAGUCAGUUUGAGAAGCAGGAUAGUCUUCAGGGGAAAACCAUGUGGCAUUAAAACGGACCCUGAAGAAACAGAAAUAGAUUCAUAGACAUAGAAAGCAAACUUAUGGUUAACAAAGGGGAAGCAGGAGAGAAGGGUAAAUCAGGAGUAGGGGAUUAACAGAGACACAACCAUAUAUAAAAUCGAUAAACAGGAGUUCCCAUUGUGGCUCAGUGGUAGCAAAUCCAACUAGUAUCCAUGAGGACAUGCGUUUGAUUAAUGGCCUCGCUCAGUGGAUUAAGAAUCCAGUGUUGCCAUGAGCUGAGUAUAGGUUGCAGAUACAGCUCAGAUCUGGCGUUACUGUGGCUGUGGCCCAGGCCAGCAGCUGCAACUCCAAUUCAACCCCUUGCUUGGAAACUUCCAUAUG
rnacentral:lncRNA from 1 species